AACGCACCUUGCACCCUUUGGUAUUCCGAAGGGUAUGCCUGUUUGAGUGUCAUUAAAUUCUCAAGCUCAGAAAUUUUGCUUUUUGGGCUUGGAUCUGGGGGUUGCUGAGACUUUGCAAGGCUCUGGCUCCUCUUAAAAGCAUUAGUGGCUUGUCGAUCCCCAUCUCGGUGUGAUAGCCAUAUCUACAUCUCGGUGGUUAGGUCAUGCAAUGGCAAUUUGGCUGCUCUCUAACCGUCUCCUCUGAGACAAUUUGAACCAUUUGACCUCAAAUCAGGUAGGACUACCCGCUGAACUUAA
rnacentral:misc_RNA from 1 species